rnacentral:rRNA from 1 species
UACGUAGGGUGCGAGCGUUGCCCGGAUUUAUUGGGCGUAAAGAGCGUGUAGGCGGCCAAGCAGGUCUGCUGUGAAAACUCGAGGCUCAACCUCGAGACGUCGGUGGAAACCGUUUGGCUAGAGUCCGGAAGAGGAGAGUGGAAUUCCCGGUGUAGCGGUGAAAUGCGCAGAUAUCGGGAAGAACACCCGUGGCGAAGGCGGCUCUCUGGGACGGUACUGACGCUGAGACGCGAAAGCGUGGGGAGCGAACAGG